AACGAACGCUGGCGGCAUGCCUAACACAUACAAGUCGAACGAGACCUUCGGGUCUAGUGGCGCACGGGUGCGUAACGCGUGGGAAUCUGCCCUUGGGUUCGGAAUAACAGUUGGAAACGACUGCUAAUACCGGAUGAUGACGUAAGUCCAAAGAUUUAUCGCCCAGGGAUGAGCCCGCGUAGGAUUAGCUAGUUGGUGGGGUAAAGGCCUACCAAGGCGACGAUCCUUAGCUGGUCUGAGAGGAUGAUCAGCCACACUGGGACUGAGACACGGCCCAGACUCCUACGGGAGGCAGCAGUGGGGAAUAUUGGACAAUGGGCGAAAGCCUGAUCCAGCAAUGCCGCGUGAGUGAUGAAGGCCUUAGGGUUGUAAAGCUCUUUUACCCGGGAUGAUAAUGACAGUACCGGGAGAAUAAGCCCCGGCUAACUCCGUG
rnacentral:rRNA from 1 species